UAAAAACGUAAUCAGAAUUAGGUUGCUAUGCUAUUGAUAGUAGUACCAAGCGAGAUGAAGGGAUGUGUGGUUUGGAUAAUAGUGGUGCUCAGUUAGGAUGUUAAUAGUUUUCUAGGGUUAAGUAGGUGGUUGAUUGAAUAGUAUGAUCUAACGGAUGUAAAUAGUCAAAGGAAACGCUUAGUACUAUCGAUAGUACAGUAGUCGGAUUCCAUGUAAUCAUAUAUUAUAGUAAAAUCUUAUAGAUAUUUCUAUUUUAGACUAUAUAUAUAUAGAGAGAGAGAGAGAGAGAGCUACUAUGCUAUCAGAAGCAUAGAGAAUCUGGUGCUUUCGAUUUUUUGGCUGUUAGAUCAGCCCCUUUAAUAAUUUUUAAUCUUUGGAUUAAUACUAUUAACCUGUGGGGACCACUUAAUUCUAGAGAUACUACUUAACCCUAGGGGGACGGCAAUCAUCCCAACCGUAUAAUUCUUAAUCCAAUGGUCAAAAUAUCGAAAGCAGUAAAUGCUCUAUGCAUGCUUCUGAUAGUAUAAUAGCUUUACACUAUAU
rnacentral:lncRNA from 1 species